AGACGAACCGUACAAACGUUAUUCGGAAUCACUGGGCUUAAAGGGUGCGUAGGCGGCUUUGCAAGUCGGGUGUGAAAGCCCUCGGCUCAACCGAGGAAUUGCGCCCGAAACUGCCGAGCUUGAGGGACACAGAGGUAAGCGGAACUAAGGGUGGAGCGGUGAAAUGCGUUGAUAUCCUUAGGAACACCAGGAGCGAAAGCGGCUUACUGGGUGUCUACUGACGCUGAGGCACGAAAGCUAGGGGAGC
rnacentral:rRNA from 1 species